AACGUAGGUGGCGAGCGUUAUCCGGAAUUACUGGGCGUAAAGCGCGCGUAGGUGGCUUCGUAAGUCCGUUGUGAAAGUCAAAGGCUCAACCUUUGAAAGCCGAUGGAUACUGCGGAGCUAGAGUACGGAGGAGGCGAGUGGAAUUCCUGGUGUAGCGGUGGAAUGCGCAGAUAUCGAGAGGAACACCUGCGGCGAAGGCGGGUUGCUGGGCUGAUACUGACGCUGAGGCGCGAAAGCCAGGGGAGCGAACGGG
rnacentral:rRNA from 1 species